UACGGGGGGGGCAAGCGUUGUUCGGAAUUACUGGGCGUAAGGGCUCGUAGGCGGCCAACUAAGUCGGACGUGAAAUCCCCAGGCUCAACCGGGGAACUGCGUCUGAUACUGGAUGGCUUGAAUUCGGGAGAGGGAUGCAGAAUUCCAGGUGUAGCGGUGAAAUGCGUAGAUAUCUGGAGGAAUACCGGUGGCGAAGGCGGCAUCCUGGACCGACAUUGACGCUGAGGAGCGAAAGCUAGGGGAGCAAACGGG
rnacentral:rRNA from 1 species